UACAUGGGGUGCAAACGUUGCUCGGAAUCAUUGGGCGUAAAGCGCACGUAGGCGGUUCGUUAUGUCGGAUGUGAAGGCCCUCGGCUUAACCGGGGAAGUGCAUCCGAAACUGGCGAGCUUGAGUACUAAAGAGGGUCGCGGAAUUCCCGGUGUAGAGGUGAAAUUCGUAGAUAUUCGGAGGAACACCAGUGGCGAAGGCGGCUCACUGGCUCGGUACUGACGCUGAGGUGCGAAAGCGUGGGGAGCAAACAGG
rnacentral:rRNA from 1 species